rnacentral:rRNA from 1 species
GCUCAGGAUGAACGCUGGCGGCGUGCUUAACACAUGCAAGUCGAACGAACCUUCGGGUUAGUGGCGGACGGGUGAGUAACGCGUGAGAAUCUGCCCUCAGGAGGGGGAUAACGGCUGGAAACGACCGCUAAUACCCCAUAUGCCGAGAGGUGAAAUGAAUUUCGCCUGAGGAUGAGCUCGCGUCUGAUUAGCUAGUUGGUGGGGUAAGGGCCCACCAAGGCUUCGAUCAGUAGCUGGUCUGAGAGGAUGAUCAGCCACACUGGGACUGAGACACGGCCCAGACUCCUACGGGAGGCAGCAGUGGGGAAUUUUCCGCAAUGGGCGCAAGCCUGACGGAGCAACGCCGCGUGAGGGAUGAAGGCCUCUGGGCUGUAAACCUCUUUUAUCAAGGAAGAAGAUCUGACGGUACUUGAUGAAUAAGCCACGGCUAAUUCCGUGCCAGCAGCCGCGGUAAUACGGGAGUGGCAAGCGUUAUCCGGAAUUAUUGGGCGUAAAGCGUCCGCAGGCGGUCUUGUAAGUCUGUCGUUAAAGCGUGGAGCUUAACUCCAUUUCGGCGAUGGAAACUACAAGACUAGAGUGUGGUAGGGGCAGAGGGAAUUCCCGGUGUAGCGGUGAAAUGCGUAGAUAUCGGGAAGAACACCAGUGGCGAAGGCGCUCUGCUGGGCCAUAACUGACGCUCAUGGACGAAAGCCAGGGGAGCGAAAGGGAUUAGAUACCCCUGUAGUCCUGGCCGUAAACGAUGAACACUAGGUGUCGGGGGAAUCGACCCCCUCGGUGUCGUAGCCAACGCGUUAAGUGUUCCGCCUGGGGAGUACGCACGCAAGUGUGAAACUCAAAGGAAUUGACGGGGGCCCGCACAAGCGGUGGAGUAUGUGGUUUAAUUCGAUGCAACGCGAAGAACCUUACCAGGGUUUGACAUCCUGCGAAUCCCUUGGAAACGAGGGAGUGCCUUCGGGAGCGCAGAGACAGGUGGUGCAUGGCUGUCGUCAGCUCGUGUCGUGAGAUGUUGGGUUAAGUCCCGCAACGAGCGCAACCCACGUCUUUAGUUGCCAGCAUUUAGUUGGGCACUCUAGAGAGACCGCCGGUGAUAAACCGGAGGAAGGUGUGGAUGACGUCAAGUCAUCAUGCCCCUUACAUCCUGGGCUACACACGUACUACAAUGCUACGGACAAAGGGCAGCAAACUCGCGAGAGCUAGCAAAUCCCAUAAACCGUGGCUCAGUUCAGAUCGUAGGCUGCAACUCGCCUACGUGAAGGCGGAAUCGCUAGUAAUCGCAGGUCAGCAUACUGCGGUGAAUACGUUCCCGGGCCUUGUACACACCGCCCGUCACACCAUGGAAGUUGGCCACGCCCGAAGUCGUUACUCCAACCCUUGUGGAGGAGGACGCCGAAGGUGGGGCUGAUGACUGGGGUGAAGUCGU